UAAGGAAUAUUCCGCAAUGGGGGAAACCCUGACGGAGCAACGCCGCGUGAAGGAUGAAGGCCCUCGGGUCGUAAACUUCUUUUAUAAGUGAAGAAUAUGACGGUAACUUAUGAAUAAGGGUCGGCUAACUACGUGCCAGCAGCCGCGGUCAUACGUAGGACCCAAGCGUUAUCCGGAGUGACUGGGCGUAAAGAGUUGCGUAGGCGGUUUGUUAAGCGAGUAGUGAAAUCAUGUGGCUCAACCAUUAUGACUAUUACUUGAACUGGCAGACUCGAGAAUGGUAGAGGUAACUGGAAUUUCUAGUGUAGGAGUGAAAUCCGUAGAUAUUAGAAGGAACACCAAUGGCGUAGGCAGGUUACUGGACCAUUUCUGACGCUAAGGCACGAAAGCGUGGGGAGCGAACCGG
rnacentral:rRNA from 1 species